rnacentral:ribozyme from 1 species
GCCACUUUCGGAAUCAUCAGUGCGCAGCUUGCGCUUGGCGCCGGCCACUUUUUGUGGUACAAUCGGUGGAGCAAGUGGCGCGAUUUCCGGCCGAUGCCCAUUGUGCGCGCAGCCUCCGCCACAUCCU